CGGAUUGCAGUCUGCAACUCGAGUGCAUGAAGCUGGAAUCGCUAGUAAUCGCGGAUCAGAAUGCCGCGGUGAAUACGUUCCCGGGUCUUGUACACACCGCCCGUCACACCAUGGGAGCCGGUAAUACCCGAAGUCCGCAGCCUAACCGCAAGGGGGCGCGGCCGAAGGUAGGACUGGUAAUUAGGGUGAAGUCGUAACAAGGUACC
rnacentral:rRNA from 1 species